rnacentral:rRNA from 1 species
AGUGAACGCUGGCGGUAGGCCUAACACAUGCAAGUCGAACGGCAGCACAGUAAGAGCUUGCUCUUACGGGUGGCGAGUGGCGGACGGGUGAGGAAUACAUCGGAAUCUACUUUUUCGUGGGGGAUAAUGUAGGGAAACUUACGCUAAUACCGCAUACGACCUACGGGUGAAAGCAGGGGAUCUUCGGACCUUGCGCGAUUGAAUGAGCCGAUGUCGGAUUAGCUAGUUGGCGGGGUAAAGGCCCACCAAGGCGACGAUCCGUAGCUGGUCUGAGGGGAUGAUCAGCCACACUGGAAUUGAGACACGGUCCAGACUCCUACGGGAGGUGGCAGUGGGGAAUAUUGGACAAUGGGCGCAAGCCUGAUCCAGCCAUACCGCGUGGGUGAAGAAGGCCUUCGGGUUGUAAAGCCCUUUUGUUGGGAAAGAAAAGCAGCAGGUUAAUACCCCGCUGUUCUGACGGUACCCAAAGAAUAAGCACCGGCUAACUUCGUG